GACAGAGGGUGCAAACGUUGCUCGGAAUUACUGGGCGUAAAGCGCGUGUAGGCGGUUACGCGAGUCGGGUGUGAAAGCCCGGGGCUCAACCCCGGACGUGCAUUCGAUACUACGUAGCUGGAGUACUGUAGAGGAGAGCGGAAUUCCCGGUGUAGAGGUGAAAUUCGUAGAUAUCGGGAGGAACACCAGUGGCGAAGGCGGCUCUCUGGACAGUGACUGACGCUGAGACGCGAAAGCGUGGGUAGCAAACAGGAUUAGAUCCCCUGGUAGUCCACGCCGUAAACGAUGAGUGCUGGGUGUUGCGGGUAUUGACCCCCGCGGUGCCGAAGCCAACGCGUUAAGCACUCCGCCUGGGAAGUACGGCCGCAAGGCUAAA
rnacentral:rRNA from 1 species